GGGGCCGGGCCGGUGCCGGAGACUUGAGUCGCGGGGCUGGGAUCAGGAGGUUUCUGCGGCCUCAGCGUGGAGAGAGUAGGUGGGCUUGGAGUUUGGCAGCGAGCUCCAUCACCCGCUCCCGGUGACAUCAGUGUAUAUGUCGCGUUCCGCUCUGGGCUAAACGAGUUCCCCAGAUGGGUACCAGGGACCAAACUCUGCUGAGUCCUUCACGGGUCACGUCCUUCUAUCAGUAGUGUUGUUACUCCCGACCCUCCUGCUUCGAAGCUUGUGUCGAAAUAUGAACCAGUGCGCGGCGAAGCAAAUGUAUCGGUGCUCGGUGCGUUCGCUGCUGAUCACGUGAUCAGUGACGUCCGAAGCUUCGGUCCGGCGCACAGUCACGUGACCGCUUCGAUUUGAUUCAAUGGGCUCGAAACAGGGUUCAGGCUGUUGUAGUAGCAGUAGCAGUAGUAGUAGCAGUAGUAGCAGUAGUAGUAGUAGUAGCAGUAGUAGUAGUAGUAGUAGCAGUUGUAGUAGUAGUAGUAGUAGCAGUAGUAGCAGUAGUAGUAGCUGUAGUAGCAGUAGUAGUAGCAGUAGUAGCAGUAGUAGUAGCAGUAGUAGUAGUAGCAGUAGUAGUAGUAGUAGUAGCAGUAGCAGUUGUAGUCGUAUUAGCAGUAGUAGUAGCAGUAGUAGUAGUAGUAGCAGUUGUAGUAGUAGUAGUAGUAGCAGUAGUAGCAGUAGUAGUAGCUGUAGUAGCAGUAGUAGUAGCAGUAGUAGUAGUAGUAGCAGUAUCAGUAGUAGUAGUAGCAGUAGUAGUAGUAGUAGCAGUAGCAGUAGUAGUAGUAGUAGUAGCAGUAGUAGUCGUCGUAGUAGUAGCAGUAGCAGUAGUAGUAGUAGCAGUAGUAGUCGUCGUAGUCGUAGUAGUAGCAGUAGUCGUAGUAGUAGCAGUAGUAGUAGUAGCAGUAGUAGUAGUAGUAGUAGUAGUAGCAGUAGUAGUAGUAGUAGCAGUAGUAGUAGUAGUAGCAGUAGUAGUAAGCACAUUUCCAAUGGAACCUGUGGCAAAGAGAGGUCGCUCCGAGAUGUGGGAUCACUUCAAUUUGAUUUCCUCUAACAAGGUUUGUAACAGGCAGGCAAAGUCUAUCAUUUGUAUUGUGUAAUUAUGGAUGUUCAGUACAGUAAUAUGAUUAAUAUCUCAAAUAAUAAUGAUGAUGAUGAAGAUGAUGAUGGCAGCAGCAGGUGUCAGGACCAGGGUCCCGAAGGAACCACGAUCUACGGAGACCUGAUAGGGGAGAAAACACAAAAAAACUCCUGGAAAGAAGCAGAAUUAGUGAUGUGCAUUAAUAAAACGUGAAUUGUGGUAGAACGAGAGCGUGAGAGAGGAGCUCGGUGUGACAUUCAAACAACUCACAUAAAGUCCCUAUGACUGCCAUGAACUGCACGUGCAGUAGGAAGCACUUGCUGGUAUUUUAAAUUAUAAUUAUAUAUAUAUUGUUCCACUUCUUGCCAAUGUUCAGAGAAUUGAAAUACACAAACAAGGACACACUUCAAACCUGAACAACAAUAGUUGUAUUCAUAUAGGAAUCCAUGUAUUUAUUAGAUGAUUUAUUGGUUCAACUUUUCAUAAUCAGAGAUUGGGCCAAAAUAUACUGGUGGGCUAUUCGAACCAUUUGCACUACACGUUUUCAACAGCAGACGUCAUCAUAGAGUUUGCGAUGCAUUGAAUGAAUGAACCUUUAUCCGAUACGAUGGGCUGGAAAGCUUCACUUUGCCAUCACUGUCUAUCAGGAAGGGAGGGGAAGGCAGGACUCAAGCGCAUAGUUUCGAAACAAAAAGACUUUAAGGGGGCAAAAACGCAGCCAGGAACCAGGAACAUUCCACAAUGACACGACAAGAGACACACAAGGCCUAAAUACACUGGUAAGGUGCAGGUGAUUGGACGCAGGUGGAAACAAUCACGACACGGCAGACAAUCAAAGGGGACGACAGGACAAGGCAGGAAGUGAAGUUACCGAGGGAGACAAGAGGCAGAAAACUACAAAAUAGAACAGGACGUGAACCCCAAACCCGGACACCUCUCUCCUCUUCCCUUAGAGAGGGCAAACAUGCGCACACACACACACACACACACACACACACACACACACACACACACACACACAGGUCAGAGGUCAUUUUCUCAUGAAACACAUCACUCAGUUAUGAACUUUAGUUUUCUGACUAGUUUACUUUAAAAUCUACUUCAAUAUGAUGUCAUAUAUUCUAAAAUGGUACAAUAAAACGUAACAAAAUGUUUUAAUAUGACAUAAUAUAAUAUGAUACAAUAAAAUACUAUAGAAUUUAAUGGAAUAUAACUUAAUAAAACAAUAUACUGUAACUUGAUAUAAUGUACAGUUAAACUCAAUUUAGUGCAGGAUGUUGAGUUGAUGUGUUCAACGUCAACAAGCUCACACUGAGAGGUGGACUGAUGGUGGGGGGGUUUGGGGUGAGAGGUCACUCUCUG
ensembl:lncRNA